CAGUCGCCGCGGUAAUACGUAGGGUGCGAGCGUUAAUCGGAAUUACUGGGCGUAAAGGGCUCGCAGGCGGUCUCUUAAGUCUGAUGUGAAAGCCCCCGGCUCAACCGGGGAGGGUCAUUGGAAACUGGGAAACUUGAGUGCAGAAGAGGAGAGUGGAAUUCCACGUGUAGCGGUGAAAUGCGUAGAGAUGUGGAGGAACACCAGUGGCGAAGGCGACUCUCUGGUCUGUAACUGACGCUGAGGAGCGAAAGCGUGGGGAGCGAACAGGAUUAGAUACCCCCGUAGUCCCUGUCUCUUAUAC
rnacentral:rRNA from 1 species